AAAUUCCAUUGUUUAGUAAAAUAUUAGAAAAAAUAUCCAAAUCAUUUAAAACAAAAUGGAAAUAAAUUCUAAAGAAUCAAAAUUAAAAACUAUUCAAAAGGUACUAAAUUGAUAUUUAGAAUGACAUUAUGUAAAUCAACAUACAAAUUUAACUACCACGAAGAAACAAAUUAAAUCUUAAAAGUUAUAAAAUUCUAAAAAUCAUAUCUGCCAAUAGGGGUGUCAAAAUGGGUCAUAACCCAUGGGUUGACCCAACCUAAAUUGACCCAUUAACCCAAAUGAACUGUUUAUUUUUGAUCCAAUGGGUUAAUGGAUAAAUAGGUUAAUGGGUUAAUAGGUUAAUAGGUUAACAAGUUAAUGGGUUAACAAGUUAAUGAGUUAACAGGUUAAAUAGUUUUAUUGGGUUGGGUCAACUCUGACCCAUUUAAUUUUUAAUUAAGAAAACCCAAAAAAACAAAAAAAAACUCACGUAUCUCUCUCUCUCGCCAUCUCUCUCUUUCGCCGUCUCUCAUCUCACCAUGAAAGGAGCUUGAAGCUCUCAUCCCGCCGUCUCUCUCUCUCUCUCUCGCCGCCUCUCAUCUCGUUGUCUCUAUCUCUCGCCGUCUCUCUCCCACCGUCUCUCUCUCUCGCCGUCUCUCUCUCUCCGUCUCGCUCACGCCGUCUCUCUCGCUCGAGCUUGUACAAACUAGGAACGUCUAAUGGCGCAGAACCAAACUUAUAUUCUCCCUGUAUGGAAAAAUAUGUUCCAGAAACUGCUCUCUUGUUGUUUUAUGGUACUUGUUUAGAUGAUUUCGUUGAUGCUUUCAGAUUCUCGGUAGUAUAUUUUGUGACUGGUUCUGAUAAAAGGAGUUCUUAGUACUUGAUC